rnacentral:piRNA from 1 species
AAGUAAGCUUUCUUGAACUAAUU